rfam:Picea glauca, whole genome shotgun sequence.
AGGUGUGAUCAUACCAACGUUAAUGCAUCGAAUCCCAUCAGAAAUCCGCAAUUAAGCGUGCUUGGGCUAGAGUAGUACUGGGAUGGGUGACCUCCCGAAAAUUCCUAUUGUUGCACCCU